GAUGAGCCCGCGUUGGAUUAGCUAGUUGGUGGGGUAAAGCCCUACCAAGGCGACGAUCCAUAGCUGGUCUGAGAGGAUGAUCAGCCACAUUGGGACUGAGACACGGCCCAAACUCCUACGGGAGGCAGCAGUGGGGAAUAUUGGACAAUGGGCGCAAGCCUGAUCCAGCCAUGCCGCGUGAGUGAUGAAGGUCUUAGGAUUGUAAAGCUCUUUCACCGGGGACGAUAAUGACGGUACCCGGAGAAGAAGCCCCGGCUAACUUCGUGCCAGCAGCCGCGGUAAUACGAAGGGGGCUAGCGUUGUUCGGAAUUACUGGGCGUAAAGCGCACGUAGGCGGAUAUUUAAGUCAGGGGUGAAAUCCCGGGGCUCAACCCCGGAACUGCCUUUGAUACUGGGUAUCUUGAGUGUGGUAGAGGUGAGUGGAAUUGCGAGUGUAGAGGUGAAAUUCGUAGAUAUUCGCAGGAACACCAGUGGCGAAGGCGGCUCACUGGACCACAACUGACGCUGAGGUGCGAAAUCGUGGGGAGCAAACAGGAUUAGAUACCCUGGUAGUCCACGCC
rnacentral:rRNA from 1 species